UACGGGGGGAGCAAGCGUUGUCCGGAAUCAUUGGGCGUAAAGCGCGCGUAGGCGGCCUUGUAAGUCCGUUGUGAAAGUCAAAGGCUCAACCUUUGAAAGCCGAUGGAUACUGCAAGGCUGGAGUCCGGAAGAGGCGAGUGGAAUUCCUGGUGUAGCGGUGGAAUGCGCAGAUAUCAGGAGGAACACCAAUAGCGAAGGCAGCUCGCUGGGACGGUACUGACGCUAAGGCGCGAAAGCGUGGGGAGCGAACAGG
rnacentral:rRNA from 1 species